rnacentral:rRNA from 1 species
CACGUAGGCGGAUCGGAAAGUUGGGGGUGAAAUCCCGGGGCUCAACCCCGGAACUGCCUUCAAAACUAUCGGUCUGGAGUUCGAGAGAGGUGAGUGGAAUUCCGAGUGUAGAGGUGAAAUUCGUAGAUAUUCGGAGGAACACCAGUGGCGAAGGCGGCUCACUGGCUCGAUACUGACGCUGAGGUGCGAAAGCGUGGGGAGGCAAAACA